AUUGAACGCUGGCGGCAGGCCUAACACAUGCAAGUCGAGCGGAUGAAGGGAGCUUGCUCCUGGAUUCAGCGGCGGACGGGUGAGGAAUGCCUAGGAAUCUGCCUGGUAGUGGGGGAUAACGUCCGGAAACGGGCGCUAAUACCGCAUACGUCCUGAGGGAGAAAGUGGGGGAUCUUCGGACCUCACGCUAUCAGAUGAGCCUAGGUCGGAUUAGCUAGUUGGUGGGGUAAAGGCCUACCAAGGCGACGAUCCGUAACUGGUCUGAGAGGAUGAUCAGUCACACUGGAACUGAGACACGGUCCAGACUCCUACGGGAGGCAGCAGUGGGGAAUAUUGGACAAUGGGCGAAAGCCUGAUCCAGCCAUGCCGCGUGUGUGAAGAAGGUCUUCGGAUUGUAAAGCACUUAAAGUUGGGAGGAAGGGCAGUAAGUUAAUACCUUGCUGUUUUGACGUUACCAACAGAAUAAGCACCGGCUAACUUCGUG
rnacentral:rRNA from 1 species